AAAGUCGUAACAAGGUUUCCGUAGGUGAACCUGCGGAAGGAUCAUUAUUGAAAUAAACUUGAUAAGUUGCUGCUGGCUCUCUAGGGAGCAUGUGCACACUUGUCAUCUUUGUAUCUUCACCUGUGCACCUUUUGUAGACCUGACUAUCUCUCUGAAUGCUCUCUAUAGCACUUGGGAUUUAGGAUUGACUUCCAGUCUUUCCUUACAUUUUUCAGAUCUAUGUUUAUCCAUAUACCCUGAUGUAUGUUUAUAGAAUGUAAAUUAUUGGCUUUUUUGCCUAUAAACCUUUUACAACUUUCAGCAACGGAUCUCUUGGCUCUCGCAUCGAUGAAGAACGCAGCGAAAUGCGAUAAGUAAUGUGAAUUGCAGAAUUCAGUGAAUCAUCGAAUCUUUGAACGCACCUUGCGCUCCUUGGUAUUCCGAGGAGCAUGCCUGUUUGAGUGUCAUUAAUAUAUCAACCUCUUUGGUUGGAUGUGGGCUUGCUGGCCUCUUGGGUCAGCUCACCUUAAAUGUAUUAGCAGACGACAUUUUGCCAACUGUUCAUUGGUGUGAUAAUUAUCUACGCUAUUGAUGUGGUGAAGCGAUGUCAGCUUCUAACGGUCCAUUGACUUGGACAAAUUUAUUUUAUUAAUGUGACCUCAAAUCAGGUAGGACUACCCGCUGAACUUAAGCAUAUCAAUAAGCGGAGGAAAAGAAACUAACAAGGAUUCCCCUAGUAACUGCGAGUGAAGCGGGAAAAGCUCAAAUUUAAAAUCUGGCAGUCUUUGGCUGUGCGAGUUGUAAUCUACAGAAGUAUUAUCCGC
rnacentral:rRNA from 1 species